rnacentral:lncRNA from 1 species
AUAUCACUUAUCCCAUAUCGAAGGCUUCUAUACAAAUCUACCUCUGCUCUUGCUCAUCUCAACAACAUUCUCUACUGAUCCAUCUCUGCACAUAGAUAGAUUCCAAUCCGAUAAGGCCCUAAUAAGCUCAUCAUCUUACCUGAUUAAUCAAUUUCUCCGGUAAUAAAAUUCCGUCAUCAUUUGAAAAACACGCUUAUUCAUGUUCUGAUUGGAUUUCCACUUCUUUUCUCUCAGGCUUUCAGGCAAUAGGCCAUAUAUAGUUGGAGCCGCUAAUCAUUCUUUCGAAAGCUACCGCCGAGAGACAAAGGAAAGCUAUCUAUACAAUUCCUAGUUUAGUGGCAAAGCCUCCUCUAUUCCAGAAAGCAGCAAUAAGGGGCCAGCGCACCGAAAGCAACAAUAAGGCACAAAGAAAAGACGUGAACGAGAGAGCCCUCAUAGAGGAAUGGAAUUCCAAGUAAGCAAGGCAUCUGCUUUUGCUGAUCCAAAGAGCUUUUAUUCCCCGCUAUUUAUUCGCACCUAACCCUAGUCUAGUAUAGUUUCCUUUACAAGCGCCCAGCUCAUUCUUGAUACGAGGAAAUUCCCAGUCAAGUUCAGGAACAGAAUCUAUUACUUGCUAAGAAGCUAAUGCAGUUCGUUCCUGUUUCAUCAUGAGGAUUCUCUCCGUCGGUGUUGGGGUCAGCAGCAAGCAAGUCAGAUUCCAAAGAAAGGGAAGCAGC